UACAGGGGGUGCAAACGUUGCUCGGCCUCAUUUUUCUUAAAUCUCACUUAGGCGGUCUGUUAUGUCGGAUGUGAAAGCCCUUGGCUUAACUGAGGAACUGCGUGUGAUACUGGAUGGCUUGGAUUUGGGAGAGGGAUGCGGAAUUCCAGGUGUAGCGGUGAAAUGCGUAGAUAUCUGGAGGAACACCGGUGGCGAAGGCGGCAUCCUGGACCAAUAUUGACGCUGAGGAGCGAAAGCCAGGGGAGCAAACGGG
rnacentral:rRNA from 1 species